GCUGUGAAGAUGCAGUGUACCCGCGGCAAGACGGAAAGACCCCGUGAACCUUUACUAUAGCUUGACACUGAACAUUGAGCCUUGAUGUGUAGGAUAGGUGGGAGGCUUUGAAGCGUGGACGCCAGUCUGCGUGGAGCCGACCUUGAAAUACCACCCUUUAAUGUUUGAUGUUCUAACGUGGACCCGUAAUCCGGGUUGCGGACAGUGUCUGGUGGGUAGUUUGACUGGGGCGGUCUCCUCCUAAAGAGUAACGGAGGAGCACGAAGGUUGGCUAAUCCUGGUCGGACAUCAGGAGGUUAGUGCAAUGGCAUAAGCCAGCUUGACUGCGAGCGUGACGGCGCGAGCAGGUGCGAAAGCAGGUCAUAGUGAUCCGGUGGUUCUGAAUGGAAGGGCCAUCGCUCAACGGAUAAAAGGUACUCCGGGGAUAACAGGCUGAUACCGCCCAAGAGUUCAUAUCGACGGCGGUGUUUGGCACCUCGAUGUCGGCUCAUCACAUCCUGGGGCUGAAGUAGGUCCCAAGGGUAUGGCUGUUCGCCAUUUAAAGUGGUACGCGAGCUGGGUUUAGAACGUCGUGAGACAGUUCGGUCCCUAUCUGCCGUGGGCGCUGGAGAACUGAGGGGGGCUGCUCCUAGUACGAGAGGACCGGAGUGGACGCAUCACUGGUGUUCGGGUUGUCAUGCCAAUGGCACUGCCCGGUAGCUAAAUGCGGAAGAGA
rnacentral:rRNA from 1 species